UUCAUAGCUUUGCAGCAGACUUCUUCAACUCGCCAUGACAAACGAAGCUGCAUUUAACACAGCUGCAAGUGAACUCAUCAUGAGAAUCUUCUUCCGUGCUGCAGUCUGUGCUGAAGAUACACACACCAUCGUAUCAGUAGCACAGUUUGAUGUUCUGCUUGUUCAUCUGACGGACACGUUAACGCCGACUGCGCUCCCGUUUCUGUGAAGGUCCAGCAUGAGACACAACUUGAAUCCAACCAGACUGAACACUGACUCCUGGGACAGACGAGCCUGAAGGACACAGCUGUGAUGACCAUGUUCUGUCUCUUAUGGCAAAGCAGAAAUAUUAAACACUGGGUUGACCAGCACGAAGCUGCAGAUCUCCACCAUGUUGCUGCUGAGGACAUCAAGUGCUGCAGUUCUUCAUCUAUGAAGAGAAAAAACGCACUGUUAAAGAAUGUUUUGUGUUGUUUAUGAAGAACAACAGAUUUCAGAUAGAACCGUUGUACUGUGGUCUUGGUUUGUAUCCUCAUGGUUAAAUGUACAUAUUUUAAGUCCCUUCUGAUAAAACUACUGAAAGAAAUACAACAUUGUACAAAUAGAUAAAAUGUCUUUCUACCUCAUCUGUAAUAUUCGAGGUGAUAAUCUCCCACAGAGCUAUUGAUAACAGUCCACAUCAAGUCUCUCCACUUCCCUCAGUGUGAAAACAUGAUUAUAUAAUUAAUUUGAGAACUGUUAACAACACUGAUGUGUGGACAUUACAAUUAAACUAAACUGUCUAAUUCACUGUAAAACUCCAUGACUGGCUAAAUAAACGAGGUGGGAAUAGUAAUGGUGGAUAUACCAGCCUGUAACAGAAUAAUGGUGAAACAUAGUUACUAUCACAUGCAACUUACACGUGUAGCAUCUUGAUAUUAACGUAUUAAAAUAAAAAAUAACGUCACA